UACGGAGGGUGCGAGCGUUAAUCGGAAUUACUGGGCGUAAAGCGCGCGUAGGCGGUUUGAUCAGUCCGUCGUGAAAGCCCCGGGCUUAACCUGGGAACUGCGGUGGAUACUGUCGGGCUAGAGUGUGGUAGAGGGGAGUGGAAUUUCCGGUGUAGCAGUGAAAUGCGUAGAGAUCGGAAGGAACACCAGUGGCGAAGGCGGCUCCCUGGACCAACACUGACGCUGAGGUGCGAAAGCGUGGGGAGCAAACAGGAUUAGAAACCCCGGUAGUCC
rnacentral:rRNA from 1 species